UACGUAGGGUGCAAGCGUUGUCCGGAAUUAUUGGGCGUAAAGAGCUCGUAGGCGGCUUGUCGCGUCGGCUGUGAAAACCUAGGGCUCAACCCUGGGCCUGCAGCCGAUACGGGCAAGCUAGAAUUCGGUAGGGGAGACUGGAAUUUACGGUGUAGCAGUGAAAUGCGUAGAGAUCGUAAGGAAGACCAGUGGCGAAGGCGGGUCUCUGGACAGUUCCUGACACUGAGGCACGAAGGCCAGGGGAGCAAACGGG
rnacentral:rRNA from 1 species